AAAUUGAAGAGUUUGAUCAUGGCUCAGAUUGAACGCUGGCGGCAGGCCUAACACAUGCAAGUCGAACGGUAACAGGAAGCAGCUUACUGCUUUGCUGACGAGUGGCGGACGGGUGAGUAAUGUCUGGGAAACUGCCUGAUGGAGGGGGAUAACUACUGGAAACGGUGGCUAAUACCGCAUAACGUCGCAAGACCAAAGAGGGGGACCUUAGGGCCUCUUGCCAUCAGAUGUGCCCAGAUGGGAUUAGCUUGUUGGUGAGGUAACGGCUCACCAAGGCGACGAUCCCUAGCUGGUCUGAGAGGAUGACCAGCCACACUGGAACUGAGACACGGUCCAGACUCCUACGGGAGGCAGCAGUGGGGAAUAUUGCACAAUGGGCGCAAGCCUGAUGCAGCCAUGCCGCGUGUAUGAAGAAGGCCUUCGGGUUGUAAAGUACUUUCAGCGGGGAGGAAGGUGUUGUGGUUAAUAACCGCAGCAAUUGACGUUACCCGCAGAAGAAGCACCGGCUAACUCCGUGCCAGCAGCCGCGGUAAUACGGAGGGUGCAAGCGUUAAUCGGAAUUACUGGGCGUAAAGCGCACGCAGGCGGUCUGUCAAGUCGGAUGUGAAAUCCCCGGGCUCAACCUGGGAACUGCAUUCGAAACUGGCAGGCUUGAGUCUUGUAGAGGGGGGUAGAAUUCCAGGUGUAGCGGUGAAAUGCGUAGAGAUCUGGAGGAAUACCGGUGGCGAAGGCGGCCCCCUGGACAAAGACUGACGCUCAGGUGCGAAAGCGUGGGGAGCAAACAGGAUUAGAUACCCUGGUAGUCCACGCCGUAAACGAUGUCUACUUGGAGGCUGUGCCCUUGAGGCGUGGCUUCCGGAGCUAACGCGUUAAGUAGACCGCCUGGGGAGUACGGCCGCAAGGUUAAAACUCAAAUGAAUUGACGGGGGCCCGCACAAGCGGUGGAGCAUGUGGUUUAAUUCGAUGCAACGCGAAGAACCUUACCUGGUCUUGACAUCCACAGAAGUUUGCAGAGAUGCGAAUGUGCCUUCGGGAACUGUGAGACAGGUGCUGCAUGGCUGUCGUCAGCUCGUGUUGUGAAAUGUUGGGUUAAGUCCCGCAACGAGCGCAAC
rnacentral:rRNA from 1 species